GAUGAACGUUGGCGGCGUGCCUAAUACAUGCAAGUCGAGCGAACGGACGAGAAGCUUGCUCCUCUGACGUUAGCGGCGGACGGGUGAGUAACACGUGGAUAACCUACCUAUAAGACUGGGAUAACUUCGGGAAACCGGAGCUAAUACCGGAUAAUAUAUUGAACCGCAUGGUUCAAUAGUGAAAGACGGUUUUGCUGUCACUUAUAGAUGGAUCCGCGCUGCAUUAGCUAGUUGGUAAGGUAACGGCUUACCAAGGCAACGAUGCGUAGCCGACCUGAGAGGGUGAUCGGCCACACUGGAACUGAGACACGGUCCAGACUCCUACGGGAGGCAGCAGUAGGGAAUCUUCCGCAAUGGGCGAAAGCCUGACGGAGCAACGCCGCGUGAGUGAUGAAGGUCUUCGGAUCGUAAAACUCUGUUAUUAGGGAAGAACAAAUGUGUAAGUAACUAUGCACGUCUUGACGGUACCUAAUCAGAAAGCCACGGCUAACUACGUG
rnacentral:rRNA from 1 species